CAAUUCUGGUUUAUAACCCCUCCUGCAGUUGGCCCUGAUGCCCCCUAUACAUUUGGUCUCAUAGGGGAUCUUGGUCAGAGUUUUGAUUCAAACAGAACACUUACUCACUAUGAAAUGAACCCACAAAAAGGAAAGACCGUUUUGUUUGUUGGAGACCUCUCUUAUGCAGAUAACUACCCAAAUCAUGACAAUGUGAGGUGGGAUACAUGGGGAAGGUUUACAGAGAGAAGUGCUGCUUACCAACCUUGGAUAUGGACUGCAGGAAAUCACGAGAUUGAUUUUGCCCCUGAGAUCGUAAGCAUAUAUUUACUUAAUUUAUUGUCUAAUCAAGAUCAACAUCUUUAACAUUUCUGAAAUAUCUGAAGUCUAAAAUGAGAUAGUAAAUAGAAAUGCUUCAUUCUAUCACAGCUUCUUUAAUUUGAUGAAUUUUUGAGAUCUGAGAAAUUGUUAGUUUAUGCAGUCUCAGUGCUGCAGCUCUGUGCCUUCAUAGGCCUGAUGCCAUUUCAUCUUCUUUAGCUAGUAGAUAUAUUGCAGCUACAUUAAAUUUCGUAUGCAAUCUGUUGGUUUGGUUCUGAGCUGAACUGUAAAAACAGAAGAACCAAAAUCAUAUAUAAUGAAAACCGAACCGAACCGAACCAAAGGGAUAAAGGAACCGAACCAAACAACUGAAAAACCGAAUUAAGAUUGGUUCAGUUUGGUUUUUCACCCUUAGUGAAAUAUUGUUUUUAACUUUGCUAAUGUGGCUUCUUCUACCUUUGGAACUUGUGAGGAUUACCUCCAUUAUCAGCUGCGUGGACAACUCCAAUUUUAGUGUGAUAAUUGCACAUGCCACUGUUACUUUCAAAAGUUGAUGCUCGCUCUUGUUUGAUUGUAGUCCAGAUUAUAUGUUAAUAUGUAUAUUUGCCAAAUGGGUACAAGUUACAAGAAGAAUUGAUUCUUAAUAAGAAAAUGUACUAUUGUUGCAGGGUGAAACUAAACCUUUUAAGCCUUACACUCACCGCUAUCAUGUCCCAUAUAAAGCAUCAGGCAGUACUGCUCCAUUUUGGUACUCAAUCAAGAGAGCUUCAGCAUAUAUUAUUGUCUUGUCUUCCUAUUCAGCAUAUGGUAAGAAUAUGUAAUUGAAUUUUUUGGUAAUUCUUAAAGCUCAAGUAAAAGAGCACCCACGUAUGUGGUCGAAUCCAAACGAGGGAUUUCUAGGUUUGGAAAACUGAAUAUAACUCGCCGUUCUGUGAAAUGUUUAGAUGAUUUUGUUUUCAGAUUAAUGGACUAAUAUAUAAUGCUACAUUCUAAGUAUUCACAGAUUUCACUUCUGCUUAUCUGUCAUGUUUUAGGUAAAUACACUCCUCAGUAUAAAUGGCUUGAAGCGGAGCUGCCAAAGGUUAACAGGACUGAGACACCAUGGUUGAUUGUUCUUAUGCAUGCACCAUGGUAUAAUAGCUACAACUAUCAUUACAUGGAAGGAGAGACCAUGAGAGUAAUGUAUGAGCCAUGGUUCGUUGAGUACAAAGUUGAUGUCGUAUUUGCUGGCCAUGUUCAUGCCUAUGAACGAUCU
rnacentral:misc_RNA from 1 species